UACGAAGGGUGCAAACGUUGCUCGGAAUUAUUGGGCGUAAAGCGUACGUAGGCGGCAUUGCAAGUCGGAUGUGAAAUCCCUCGGCUUAACCAAGGAAGUGCAUCCGAAACUGCAGUGCUUGAGUACUUAAGAGGAUCGCGGAAUUCCCGGUGUAGAGGUGAAAUUCGUAGAUAUCGGGAGGAACACCAGUGGCGAAGGCGACUUCCUGGCCUGUUCUUGACGCUGAGGCGCGAAAGCUAGGGUAGCAAACGGG
rnacentral:rRNA from 1 species